GACGAACGCUGGCGGCGUGCUUAACACAUGCAAGUCGAGCGGUAAGGCCCUUCGGGGUACACGAGCGGCGAACGGGUGAGUAACACGUGGGUGACCUGCCUCUAGCUCUGGGAUAAGCCUGGGAAACUGGGUCUAAUACCGGAUAUGACUCCACGGCGCAUGUUGUGGGGUGGAAAGCCUUGUGUGGCUAGAGAUGGGCCCGCGGCCUAUCAGCUUGUUGGUGGGGUGAUGGCCACCAAGGCGACGACGGGUAGCCGGCCUGAGAGGGCGACCGGCCACACUGGGACUGAGACACGGCCCAGACUCCUACGGGAGGCAGCAGUGGGGAAUCUCGCGCAAUGGGCGAAAGCCUGACGCAGCGACGCCGCGUGAGGGAUGACGGCCUGGUGUAA
rnacentral:rRNA from 1 species